rnacentral:lncRNA from 1 species
ACAGCCCACAGUCCUUCGGGUCACUGCCACAUUACACCGUCGUGUAAUAACUCAGCCCUAGGCCAUGAUCCCGUCUCUCUGAGUCUUCCCGAUCCAACGAAUAAGGGGUUUCCCUAAACCCGCUGGGUACAAGGCUGAGGAAACACUAAUCACCCCUAAACAAGCCUAGUAUGGACGAGUUACGCUCAUACUGUCGGCUACAACACACUAAUCCUAAUAAGACCAAGACUCCUACCACAAACUUAAAUACACUAAGGAGUCUACGACACUAACACCAGUACUCGUAGUCCAGCCUAUAUGGCAUAGGAUUCGUAGUACUAAACUCGACA